CGGUCUAGAGAUUCUCCUCGGUGCACCGAGUUCCCCUGCUUCUUCUCCUCACCAACGAACAACCAACCAUGCCAACAUUUGAGGUUGUUGCAGUUCACUGUUUUGAUUUUUGGAGGAAAAUCGCUACACUGCAGUUUGCUAUUCCCAUCGAUGAGAUUUGCGUUUUCUUGUGUCUCUACUUAAGAGUAAUAAAAGUGCAAAUGCAGUCCGCUGUACUUUUGCUCUUGAGGUUCAUUUUACUCUCUUUUUUUGCAGAAAAGAUGGGUGAUGGAGUGCGCUUCACGAGGUUGGUCGUAUCCCUCCUGCCAGGUCGUGCAGUUCCUUGGCUCGCGACAUGCGGUCCGGUAGCAUGGGCUUUCUGUUCACGGGCACGCCGGUUUCCACCAUGCAGUUCGCUAGCUGGUUGGGCGUGGUUUCGGUAUCGCGGCAAUGCAGUUUGAUUGAGUGCUUCCGGUGUACACUUCAAAUUAGUUUUUUUGUAUGUUCAGAUUUACAUUGCAAUGUGGUGAAGUCCCGGCUGGGUGGUGCUACAAUGCAGUUUGUGUGUGCCGCUCUCAGUCUUUGCUGUUGUUUUCUUGGUGGUGCUCGAGUGCUAAUUCUGCUAUGUAUGGUUGUAUGCUGGUGGUUUGUGCUACAACGACGUGCAGUUCGCCAGGCUGUGUCGUGCGCUUCGCAGGGCCAUGGAGUGCGGUUCACCGGUCGGCGCCUUUGCGUUCGGUUUGCCAUUUGCUUCGAUAUAUUUGUUUUUAUGUGGGUGAUUUGUAAAACUGCAGGGGUGUUUUUGUAACAAAAUGAAGAAACUUGUAGAAACCUACUGCAGCUCGCUUGGUAAACUCAUACGGUUCACUAACAUUCGCUAUAGAACUCCUUUGUUGUCCACUUGGUAAACACAAAGCAAAAACAUCUCAAAAGAAGCUCACUUCUAUAUAAGAUGUAGUUCACUCUCUCAAUCCCUGAGGUCCACUCGCUUGGUCAACGCGCGUAAAAAAUUAACAAGUACAAAAAAAGACAGCAAAAACUCAUGAGGUUCACUUUGGGUAGUGUUGCGUUGCACUUUCGGGAGUGUUGCGGUCCACUCACGUUUAAAAAAAAGUUGAAAAAAAGACAACAAAAACUUGUGCGAGAAAGUUUACGUCCGACAAAAAGAAAUGAUGCAGUGCACUUGUCUGUCUGUUGCAGUGCGGUUUUCAGUUUGAAGUAGUGCGUUCUUCUGUCCCAUGACGAUUUUGGUGUCGCGAAAAAACAGAGUGUCCGCUUUUCACGAAUUUUAAAACUGCUCUUAAACCGUAAAGAAUUAGAGAGUGUAUUCUACAUGAAAAAGUUCCGACUCGUCGAUAUCUUUCCAACGGCGUAUCGUCUGAAUCAUUCCGACCAGCGGUUUGCAAAAAAUUCGCGAAAAAACAGUCGCUGCCUCUCGAAGUCAGCCGCACGAUUUUACAAAUUAACUAAAAACCGUAAGGAAUCUCAAAACCAUUUCAACAUAUGAAAGUUGCGCCUUGUCCGUAGCUUUCCAAUGGCGUAUCACACGCCCCGUUUCGACAAACGGUUCAAAAACUGGAACGAAAACAGUACCGAAAAUUUCAAAAAAAUUGAAAAACAGAGUUCCGCGAUUUAGUAAAUUUGAAACUGCUCUUAAACCGUAACAAAUUAGAGAAAAAUUUAUAUAUGACAAAGAUGCGCCUCGACGAUAUCUAUCCAACGCCAUAUCGUUUGCUUCAUUCCGACGAGCGGUUUAAAAUAAAUCGCCAAAAAAUGCUCGCUGCCACUCGUCAUGGGCCGCACCAUUUUCAAAACUGCUCUUAAACCGUGUGGAAUCUCGAAAAGUAUUUAACAUGUCGAAGUUGCGCCUAAUCCAUAGCUUUUCAACGAUAUAUUACACGCCUCAUUCCGAUAAACGGUUAAAAAAUUAGAGCGAAAACAGUACUGAAAAAAUAACACGUGCAGUUUUUUUCGACGAGAAGUUCACUAGUCUAUAUUGCAGUGCUCGUCGUCAAGAAGAUGCAGUGCACUUGCGUUCAGCGUGCAGUGCAGAAGUGGUGUGCAGAAUAGUUAUUCUGCUAAUAUUAGCAGAAGUGGUGUGGGUCUAGUAUGAUAACACCCUUAAGAGUCUUAUUCUAAUAACACCUAGGCUUAUUCUGCUAACACUUACGCACCGCUAAUGUACCCAAAGAAACUGCACACAAAACCAAAACUGCACCGUGUCCACCCCUAUCCCACCCUCCUUCUCCCCCACGCGCCACUACAACCCACAUCCCGGACGCAACUGGCGAUCCACCCCACCCACCUCGAGCCAGACACCGCGCCCACCUACCACCUUCCUCCGCCGGCCGGAACCACCCCGCCGCCGUCACCCCACCUCCCACCUUCCUCCGCGGGCCGGAACCACCCCGCAGCCGUCACCCCCGGGCCCCGGUACCGUCAACCCCAGGGCCUCGCCACCGUCACCCCCCAUGGCCGGCCCAUAACUCCAGGUCGCGCCCCUGUCCAGCCACCUACCUUCGAAGAAAAAGCAACUCCGGCCACGCCCUCGCCAGGCAACCACCGGAUCCGGACGGAUCUGGUUCCACUUCUGCUCGUCUCCCCUAGCCCACCACCUACAUCGCCAGAUCCGCAGCCGCCCGCCGGCCAUGGACUCUGGCCCGCAUCCUGACCCGCGCGCCUCCGCCCAGGCGACGGAUCCAGCCCUGCCACGCCAUGUAAUCAACAAAUCGGAGCGCCGCCUUUCCCCACCUUCCUCUCCAUGCCCGGCCUCCACAACCCCACCGUCGUCUGGAUCGCCAUGGUCGUCGUCAUCCUUCUUUGACAUCCAGCCGGCCAUCCCUCUUCAACAUCCAGCCGGUCGUCAUCCUUCUCGUCCAUCAUGAGCGCAUCCCCCACCUCCUCUUCCUCGCGGCGUCAGCAAGAUCCGCAUAGCGGGGGAGGAGGGCACGAUGACCAUGGCAGUGGGCGCUGGCCCGGGCAGUGCCCUCCUCCAAUGCUGCUUCGGUCCUCCUCCACUCAGACUCGUGCGUGCGUAGUCCCCACCACUACAUCCUCUCCUCCACCUUCACUCCUACUCCACCGCGAAACACCAUCAGAAGGGGUCGCGAGGAGGUCUGUUAGCCCGUCGGUUGUAGUUCCCUUUGACGACGAGGAGGAUCACCUCUCGCUACAGUGCAGCUCGGUUGGCUCUUCAUUGCAGUUUGAUCGAGCCCACAUCUCUUCGGUGUGCUCAUCGGAGGCUCUUGCUGGCGAGAGGUAAGCAACCCUUGGCAUGCACUUCGAUCCAUGAGUUUGCAUUUCAACCGGGGUGUGCGGGUGCGGGUUGUUCUCCACCUGAUAUCGAGCAGUGCGGGUUGUCUCUCCUUGCAGCUCGGUUGGGUCGUCGGUGCAGUAGGAAAGCGCCUGAGAGGACUAUGGCCAUCUAUUUCGAUUCCGGCCGUCCAACGCCGCAGUACAGGUGUGUGCGGCAUGCAUUUUACUUGGUGUGCGCGGGAGGUUCACACAACUAGCUCGUGCAGCCCAUCGUUGCCCUUGUGCUGGUUGACCGUUGCAGUGAACAAAAAAAGGGCACUCAGUUUUGCUGUGAAGUUUUGAUGUAGCUCAUUUUUGUUUUGCCUUUUGAAAAAAAUGGUUAUGAAGUGCGUAGUGCAGUACUAGUUGUGAUCCAGCUCAUUUUUUUUCCUUUUGAAAAAAAUGAUUAUGGAGUGCGUAGUGCAGUACUGUUAGAUACCUCGACGAUUGGCUUUGUAAAAAAAGAUGGAGCAGUCCACUUGGUUGUGGGGAAUGAAAAGAAUGAGAGACAAUGGUUUCAAAAGAAUUACUGUUCACUACAGUUGACGAACGGUUUUGUUACGUGUAUGUAUGAAGUGCACUCAAUGGUUACAGUACCUGUAUGUAUGAAGUGCACUCAGUUUGUGUAAAAAGAAUAUGUAUGAAGUGCACUCUGUUUUGUUUAAAAAGAAUAUGUUUCAUUACCUGUAUUUUUGAAAGCACAAAUUGUUUCAUGUGUUCCAAAAAUCAAUCGACUACAUUCUACCUGCAGUGCGUUUGUUCCUCGGAUGUGGUUCACUUGCGUCCAACAUGAAAAGUGCGAAAAAUUUAGGGAAACAACAAGAUAUUAAUGUGGUUCACUUCGAUAUAUGUCGUGGUUCACUUAUCCCCGUCUAUGCGGUCCACUCUCGUUCAUAAGGAAAUGUUGAAAAGAAAACAAUGAGAACUCAUACGAGAAAAUAUGUACGUCCGAUAAAAGAAAUCAUGAAGUUCACUUGCCUAUCUGAUGCAGUGCGGUUUUUCGUCCGAUGCAGUGCGGUUUUCAGUCGGAUGAAGUAUCCACGUUGAUUUGGUUUCCGCGAAAAACAGAGUGUCCGCAUUUCGGUAAAUUUAAAACUGCUCUUAAACCGUAAGGAAUUAGAGAGAGUAUUCUACAUGAAAAACUUGCGUCUCCUCGAUAUCUUUCCAACGGCAUAUCAUUUGAAUCAUUUCGACAACCCGGUUUGUAAAAAUUUCACGAAAAACGGCCGCUGCCACUCGUCAUCCGCCGCACGAUUUUUGAAAUUAACUUAAAACUGUAAGGAAUCUCAAAAACAUUUCAACAUACGACAGAUGCGCCUUGUCCAUAGCUUUCCAACGGCGUAUCAUACGUCUCGUUUCGACAAAUGGUUAGAAAACUGGAGCGAAAACAGUACUGAAAAUUUCAAAAAACUUGAAAAACAGAGUUCCGCGAUUUAGUAAAUUUGAAACUGCUCUUCAACCGUAACGAAUUAGAGAAAGAUUUAUAUAUAAAAAAGAUGCGCCUCGACGAUAUUUAUCCAACGGCGUAUCAUUUGCUUCAUUCCGACAAGCGGUUUAGAAAAAACGCGAAAAAUCACUCGCUGCCACUCGUCAUCCGCCGCACCAUUUUCAAAACUGCUCUUAAACCGUGUGGAAUCUCGAAAAGUGUUCAACAUGUUGAAUUUGCGCCUAAUCCAUAGCUUUUCAACGGUAUAUUACACGCCUCGUUCCGAUAAACAAUCAAAAAAUUAGAGCAAAAACAGUACCAGAAAAACACUGCGUGCAGUUUUUUCCGACGCGAAGUUCACUAGUCUAUAUUGCAGUGCUCGUCGUCAAAAUAAUGCAGUGCGCUUCUGUUGAGCGUGCAGUGCCGAAGUGGUGUACAUAAUAGUUAUUCUGCUAAUAUUAGCAGAAUAGACCGUCUAUAUAUAGUUGGCCGUGGUCAUCUUCAUGUGCUGGACUUGAUAAUGGCCCAGUUCUUUUCAGCUUUUGAUUCUUCAUGCGCCUGGAGGCCAUCGGCGGCUAGGAAAAAUCUAUCGUGAGGAAUCGAUCGACAACGAGAAAUACCAGGGCAGCCUAACGUGCGCUCUGUAUUGUUCGGAGUGGCAGUUUUUCUUAAUAUUCCACUCAAAUAGGGGUAGACACCCAAACCCAACUGUUUUCUUUUGCGGGAGGCCGCAUAAUCGCAAGAAUCGGGCCUGGGAGCGCUUCUCAAUUGCACUACCAAUUCUCACGAUUGUCAGAUGGUUCUGAAGAAGCAGAUUGAGUUAUUUCCAGCUUAUUGAUUUUCCAGUCAUGAUUGUUGAGAAUCGCCUCAAAGGAACUGGCCCUAUGAUAUGCCUAUAGUUCGCCUCAAUAAUGGAAAUACUAGGUUGCAUCGCCUGUCCCUCCAAUUAAGCUUGUUGAUAAUGGAAGUAAGGCCUAUCUUGGUGACGAAUGGCGGCCACGCAUCCGGCGAUUUCGUCCACUCAUCCUGAUUCGUCUCAAUAAUGGAAAUAGGUUGGGAGAAUUGUAAAUUGAUGCUACUUUUUUUUUUUGCGAAAAGUUGGAGUUACUUGAAGUUUUCAAGUAGUACUGACAAGCCAGAAAGUAACCACCCAGCUUUCAUGCGAAAGUUAGUGGAGACUCAGGUCGGCAGAAUGAACCAAGUCUCACUAGAUAGAGAUACAGCUUUUUUCUUGUCGGAUAAUAGGGAGAUUAUAUUCAAGAGCGGCAACACGCAAUUGUCCACGUCCAAGUGCAUGCUCGUUUCCUUGGUCUCGACUCCAAACAAAGCAUGCUUGCAGCUGGCGUACGUUCCAAUCAUGUUAGACAAUCUGGGGGAUUAGUUUACGCAAUUACGCUUUGUUCAUAUGCUAAUGCGUCCCGGCAGUUGUUUCGGUUGACGUGCACGCAUGACCACCGCCAGCUCCACGAUCAUUGCCACACCGAGGCAGACCAUACGCAAUGGGCCAGAGGGUAUUGGGUUGCUUUGAGCAAGAAAUGCAAACGUGAUGACCACGAUGUUGGGAACUAGCGUGCGAUUAAGUUGAUCUACUGACCAUCAUGUUAAUCAUUGCUACACGGGCCAGGCCAUAUGCAAUGACCUAGAGGACUCAAGUUGCUUUGAAAAAGAAAACAAACGUGAUGACCAUAAUGUUGGGAAUUAGUGUGCAAUUAAGUUGAUCUACUACUGUAUCCCCACAAAAAAAAAA
rnacentral:lncRNA from 1 species